GGGAGGCCGAGGCAGGAGGAUCAUGAAGUUAAGAGAUUGAGACCAUCCUGGCCAACACGGUGAAACCCCGUCUCUACUUAAAAUACAAAAAAUUAGCUGGACAUGGUGGCACACGCCUGUAGUCCCGGCUACUCGGGAGGCUGAGGCAGGAAGAUUGCUUGAACCCAAGAGGCGAAGGUUGCGGUGAGCUGAGAUCGUGCCAUUGUACUCCAGCCUGGGUAACAAGAGUGAAACUCUGUCUCAAAAUAUAUAUGCUUUUAUCAAGCACUUUAAUUAGUUGUGUGACUUAACAUACACCACACACCAGCUGAGAUACUAGCUCCAUUAACUCAGGAGGAAACAGAGGUCAAAUGAACUUGUCCAAGAUUUCAUCUAGUGAGAAAUGGAACCAAGAUUUCAACCCAGUUCACUCUCCCCCUGAAGUCUAAGUUGUUUCUACUGUAUUAUGUUGUCUUCAUGCAAUAACCAAAUCAAGUGAAUCAAGUGACAUCUCAGCCUUGAAUGAUGAGCAGGACUUUGCCAAACAAAAAGGGGAAAAGGAUCGGGUAUUCCAGAUAUUAUGGAGCACAUGAAAAGGCCCUGAGGUGGAGUCUCACUCUGUCGCCCAGGAUUACAGGCACUCACCACCACGCCCGCUAAUUUUUGUAUUUUUAGUAGAGAUGGGGUUUCACCAUGUUGGCCAGGCUGGUCUUGAACGCCUAACCUCAGGUGAUCCGCCUGCCUUGGCCUCUCAAAAUGCUGGGAUAACAGGCGUGAGCCACUGUGCCUGGCCAUAGUUGAUAAUUUUCAACCGUGAAAAUCAUGCAUAGAGAAAUGAUUGGAGAUGUACAACAAGAUGUACCACAGAUGAAUUUUAUCACCGGAAAAGGCCAAAUCUCCCUGUCUAUUUGCUUGGGCUGCUGUAACAAAAUACCUUAGACUGGGUAAUUUAUAAACAACAGAAACUUACUGUUAAUAGUUCUGGAGACUGGGUAGUCUAGGAUCAAGGUGCCAGCAAACUCAGCAUCUAG
rnacentral:lncRNA from 13 species